rnacentral:misc_RNA from 1 species
CUGUCAUAGCGUUUCAAUAUGGAAAUCCAGAUACAUUGUGCUCUCCUCUUGUUGAAGCAAAGAAUGCGGGAAAUGACUUAGUGGAUGCCUUCGCCAAAUAUGUUAAAGAUUAUUUCAUUGGAAGUUUUGGCACUAAUGUUCAAACUUACAAUCAGAAACAUUUAAAAAACACCACUCCAGGUGAAGAUAGCGCGGACCGGUUGUGG